rnacentral:rRNA from 1 species
UUCGAGUGGCGGACGGGUGAGUAACGCGUGAGCAAUCUGUCCUACAGAGGGGGAUAACAACUGGAAACAGUUGCUAAUACCGCAUAAGACCACGAGGUCGCAUGGCCAUGAGGUAAAAGGAGAAAUCCGCUGUAGGGUGAGCUCGCGUCCGAUUAGAUAGUUGGUGAGGUAACGGCCCACCAAGUCUGCGAUCGGUAGCCGACCUGAGAGGGUGACCGGCCACAUUGGGACUGAGACACGGCCCAGACUCCUACGGGAGGCAGCAGUGGGGAAUAUUGGGCAAUGGGGGAAACCCUGACUCAGCAACGCCGCGUGAGGGAAGAAGGUUUUCGGAUUGUAAACCUCUGUCCUUGGUGACGAAGGAAGUGACGGUAGCCAAGGAGGAAGCCCCGGCUAACUACGUGCCAGCAGCCGCGGUAAUACGUAGGGGGCGAGCGUUGUCCGGAAUGACUGGGCGUAAAGGGCGUGUAGGCGGCGGUAUAAGUCUGGAGUGAAAGUCCUUCUUUCAAGGAGGGAAUUGCUUUGGAGACUGUACAGCUUGAGUGCGGAAGAGGUAAGUGGAAUUCCCAGUGUAGCGGUGAAAUGCGUAGAGAUUGGGAGGAACACCAGUGGCGAAGGCGACUUACUGGGCCGUAACUGACGCUGAGGCGCGAAAGCGUGGGGAGCGAACAGGAUUAGAUACCCUGGUAGUCCACGCGGUAAACGAUGAAUGCUAGGUGGUGGGGGGUAUCGGCCCCCUCCUUGUGCCGGAGUAAACACAAUAAGCAUUCCGCCUGGGGAGUACGGCCGCAAGGUUGAAUCUCAAAGGAAUUGACGGGGGCCCGCACAAGCAGCGGAGCAUGUGGUUUAAUUAGACGCAACGCGAAGAAACCUUACCAGGUCUUGACAUCCAAUUAAAGCCAUAGAGAUAUGGUGUGUCUUCGGACGAAUUGAGACAGGUGGUGCAUGGUUGUCGUCAGCUCGUGUCGUGAGAUGUUGGGUUAAGUCCCGCAACGAGCGCAACCCUUAUUGUCAGUUACUAACGGGUGAAGCUGAGGACUCUGACGAGACUGCCGGGGACAACUCGGAGGAAGGUGGGGACGACGUCAAAUCAUCAUGCCCCUUAUGACCUGGGCUACACACGUGCUACAAUGGCUACUACAAAGAGCUGCAAACCCGUGAGGGCAAGCGAAUCUCAAAAAGGUAGUCUCAGUUCGGAUUGUGGGCUGCAACCCGCCCACAUGAAGUCGGAGUUGCUAGUAAUCCCGAAUCAGCAUGUCGGGGUGAAUGCGUUCCCGGGCCUUGCACUCACCGCCCGUCA